rnacentral:rRNA from 1 species
UACGGAGGGGGCGAGCGUUAUUCGGAAUUAUUGGGCGUAAAGGGUGCGCAGGCGGCCAAGUGUGUGAGGCGUGAAAGCCCGGGGCUUAACCCCGGAAUUGCACCUCAAACUACUCGGCUAGAGCAUUGGAGAGGGUAGCAGAAUUCAUGGUGUAGCAGUGAAAUGCGUAGAUAUCAUGAGGAAUACCAGAGGCGAAGGCGGCUACCUGGACAAUUGCUGACGCUCAGGCACGAAAGCGUGGGGAGCAAAAGGG